rnacentral:lncRNA from 1 species
UUAUUUUUAGUAGGAUAUGAAGGCAUAGUAAUUGAUGUACCUGUAAAAGUAAACACACUAAUGUAAGACAUGUAGAUGUUUCUUGAGUCCAGUGGUAGACUUGCCUGAGAUAGCAGAUUGUCUGCCACUGUUGUCUACACACAUACUGUCGACUAAAAAAGUUUACGGACCACGGGAUCUCAGAAAACGCUAAAUAUCCGAGCAGCCUUUAAAAGUAGCCAGUAAAACCGUACAUCACAAUGUUCGCAUAUACUAGUAGAGGCUGGAAAUGGGAAUACCAGGCUUCGUUUUGAGGCUGCGGAGAUAUUCAGCUUUUUGUGAGAUCCCUUCAUUCGUUAACUUUUUGGGUCGAUAGUACAUUUGUAUGUGUGUGGUAGGGAAGGUAUGAAUUAGAGAGUUUCUCCAAAAAAGCAGGGCUUUGCUAUAGAUGUGCCAGGCUGUAGAUGUGCAGGCAAA